AGUGGCAUCAAUCUCCGGCUACAUCUCUGUUCCGAUCUGUUUUACUGUUGGAUGUCUGAUGAUUGUGGCUUCAGUUCUGAUCUUCCGCAUUUACAGAAAAUACAAAAACACAAAACAACAGGUUAACACAGUUGAAGAUGAGAUCACUUACACAGAUCUAGCAUUCAAUAAAACACAAGCAUGUGAAGAGACAGCUUCAGUGAUGGAUGAUGUGGUGUAUGCAGGAGUCGUAAGUCACGAUGAUGAUUGACUGUGAUCAAAGACUGAUGAAGAUGUCUGACCUCUCAAACCUCCACGUGAAGAUUUUAUUACAACUCUGAUCAAUAUGACAUCAACUAUGGACAGAUCAAACUUUCUGAAUCAGUUUAAAUUACAGACAUCUGGUGAAGAGAUAAAGUUCAC